UGUUCCUGUGGAUUGCUGCCUUCCGACGCUCUCAACCCUAGUUCAGUUGUGCCCUCCCCACACCCCCGUUUUGUCUGUAAUGAAUCAAUACCCUGAAAAUGUGGACACUGUUUAUUAAGAUCAGCUCCCCAGCCCCACCCCCACCGCACUCGGCGUGGAAUGCUUUUAUUGGUGAAAUACGCUUAGUGAGCACAGCGGGCUGCACAGCUUUGGUCUCUUUGCAAAGCCGGUGGUAGAAUCAAGGCAGCGCUGUGGAAGGAAGAGUAGGGAUGGGAAAGGAAGAAGGAAGCAAACAGAGGAGAGAGGCUUUCAGUGUCCAGCUGUGUGCGUGCAAAAGCAACCUGAGGCCAGCAGUGAACUGGAUGCCGCUAUGUGUCAGGAUGGCUUCCGGGGAGACUUCAUUUCCUGAAGAAGUGGAGAAUGGAUUUUGUCUGCGGGUCCUCCGGACGAUUCAUAUCAGGGCUACACUUCCUUCUCCUGCCACUGUAAAAACGGACUGAAGGAGCUGUUGCAACAGAGGACUAGGCAGCAGAAAAGUCCUCGUUCCUGAGACCAUAAUAUCUCACCAGACAUU